GAUGAAGAAGCAGCAAAAUGCGAUAAGUAAUGUGAAUUCCAGAAUUCAGUGAAUCAUCGAAUCUUUGAACGCACAUUGCGCCCGCUGGUAUUCCGGCGGGCAUGCCUGUUCGAGCGUCAUUUCAACCCUCAAACCCCCCGGGUUUGGUGUUGGGGAUCGGCUCUGCCUCACGGCGGUGCCGCCCCCGAAAUACAUUGGCGGUCUCGCUGCAGCCUCCAUUGCGUAGUAGCUAACACCUCGCAACUGGAACGCGGCGCGGCCAUGCCGUAAAACCCCAACUUCUGAAUGUUGACCUCGGAUCAGGUAGGAAUACCCGCUGAACUUAAGCAUAUCAAUAAGCGGAGGA
rnacentral:misc_RNA from 1 species